rnacentral:rRNA from 1 species
UACGUAGGGGGCAAGCGUUGUCCGGAAUUAUUGGGCGUAAAGAGCGCGUAGGCGGUCCGAUAAGUCGGCUGUGAAAGUCAAGGGCUCAACCCUUGGAAGCCGGCCGAUACUGUCGGACUAGAGUCCGGAAGAGGCGAGUGGAAUUCCUGGUGUAGCGGUGAAAUGCGCAGAUAUCAGGAGGAACACCGGUGGCGAAGGCGGGUCUCUGGGCCGAUACUGACACUGAGGAGCGAAAGCGUGGGGAGCGAACAGG